AUGCCUAUCUCUACCAUUAUCACUGCCUAUCUACCAUUGUCACUGCCUUUCUUUCCUUCAGUCUCUCUCCCUAUCGCUCUCCCUUUUUCUUUCUCUCUGUAUCCACAUUUUCUCUCUAAAUCUGCUAUCUCUGCAGCUCUUACCAUUGGCCACUUAACAGAUGCAAAAGAACUCCUCUUAAAUGAAUUGUCAUUCCAGACAAAAGCUGUCGUCGUGAUUGAUGUGGCAGUUGACAAAAUGUGCAAGUAAUGCCGACCGCCCCCAGAACCCCACCCACGUCCAGUAUGUCCCUCCUACCCUAGAGAAACCUGAGCCAUAUCCCUGUCCCCACUGCUAUUUAUGUUGAACUCAACCAUGCUAGGAUUUUAGAUGUAGUUUUCAUUCACAGAUCAUUCAUGUAUGUUAAUAACUGUCUAUAUGUGCCCAUAACUUGUUGCACUUUGACCUUGAAAAUCUAAGAUAUGAAAGAAAAUCAAACAACAAGAGCUCAAAUCAGCCGUCUGAACUUGCACCUGAUUUGUCCCUUCACUCAUAAACCAAACCAUAAACAUAAUAUGUACAAAUACCACUUUGUUCUCUUACACUUUAACAUUUUUUUACAGUUUGUUUUCUAUGUGUCUUUUGUUCUUUUUCUGAGUCCCGGUUCUCUGUCCAGUCCCCUGUGAUGGACCCCAGUCUAUAACCCCGGAGUGUGAUCAUCAUCAUCCCAAAACAAGACAGGAAACAAAACAGGAAAAACAUCCCACUAGGUGUGUUGUUUGUGUUACAUGUGAGUAAUGUUUAUCAAAUGUUUUUCGACUCAAGUUUUAGAAUGUAUCCUCUGUGCACCGGCGACAUGUCAGGUGCCUGCUGAUGAUUAGUCUCUCCAUUGCCAUUGUUGUUUUCAACGUCAAUGCUUUCCUAGCGUCGUCUCAACUUCGGUAACAGUUUUGUUCCUCACGAAUGUCCAGAGUUUGACGUGUCCCUGUGUUCAGUUGUGCAGUUGAAAGAUCUGAAACGUGCGUACAAGGUUUUUUUUUCCACCUUUGACCUACAGUAUGUCAGUCUGACCCCCCUUCAUACCCCCUGCCCCUCAACAACAGAGAGAAUCUCAGAACAACAGAAGAGAUGAAAAUACUGACAUAUCCAGUAUCCAGAAACCUGUAGCACGCAGCUAAAAGUCCACUGAGGAGAGGAUAAGAGUGCUUAAAACUAAGAUAAAUUGUUCAAAGACAACCCUCAUUUCCAGGAAAAUAUUUAGAAUUAUAUCCAUUUUUACCAUUGAGGCAAUUCACGUGAAAUAUGACAUUUUCACAAUUGAAAAACGAGUAUUGGCCUAUCAUGGAUAAACACUGCAGGCUGACGGAGUGGUAAAGUCCAACAAUAUUUUUUUUUACAGAGGAAUGAUCAAAGACAAUCUUCAGUUGAGACGGUAACGCGAUGACCGUGCAACACUUCACAGCUGAAGUAAGGAGAGAAAGAGUGAACUAAAAAGAGAGGGGGGGAGGGGUGAGACAGGGCUUCAAACAGUCUCUCAGGGCAGCAGGUGCUCGUGGCACAGCCUCGGUGAUAAGAAAUGAAAAAAAAAAUAAAGGACAUAUUUGUUCUUCUUGCUCUAAUCAUAGUCAAUAUUCAUCCCCUGAUACCUCUUUUGAAGUAUCUACAGAACAGAACAUAGUUUCCUUCAUGAAGUGCACAAAGUUCAGCAGAUAUAGAAAAAACAAAAAUAAAUGACUUUUCAAGAAGAAAAGAAAACAACAAUAAGAAAACAAGGCCAAACGUAAAAAUAAACACACUUUCCACUCCGAUGUCCGUGCUCCGUUUAGAAGGAAAAAAAAAAAAAAUCAUGCAAAAGAUCCCAGACAGCAAACCAGUUAUGAAUCUUAAUAUUCUCUUUAUAUAUUUUACAAGGAUAUAUUCAGUCUUUUCCCCCUUGAGUAAAGCCCAGCCACAGUGCAACACUGAAUGCAAGAAAAAAACGAAACAAAGUGCGAUAGAUCAAAAAGAAAGAUGAAACAUUUGGCACUUUUUUGAACGUAAUUCCUUGUGUAAGAUCACGUCAGGAUGAGCCUCUCCUGGUGGUCCGUUGGACCCUCAUUGAGAGAGGAGCGUUAUCACAGUUCUUGGCACCAAGAAUGCUGGUAAAAACGAGAUAUCAGAAUAACCACUUUUUUUCAUUCAUAUCCU
rnacentral:lncRNA from 13 species